GUUUAUGUUCAUGCGGUACUGCUGUUGUUAUUUUGCCAAUCUCCACGUGACAUGGAAGCAGAGAGAAAGUUAGAAUGAGCCGGUAUGUCUCCCAAAUGCCAUUCUGAAACUGUGUGUGUGUUUGACAGAGCUCCGGCUGAAGAGAACGAGACCUCAAGCACAAUAUUCGGUUUACUUCGAAUGGUGCCAAGAACAAAAAACAUCCAGUGAGCGGCAGUUCUGUGGACGGAAGCGCCUUGUUGAUGAAAGAGUUCAACAGAGAAUGGCCAGACUGGUUCAAAAUGACAAAGUCUAUGAUUGUAAUGUCAGAAAUUCUGGGCCAUAAACACCCUAAACAGCUCAGCCAUGGCAGACAUCUUCUCAUGUGGAGCCGAUGUGAACGGCUUUAUUAUUAUUAUUGACAAACAAUCAUGCCCAAUAACAUGACAAUGAUCACUUACUAUGUCAAUAUAUACUGUAUGUCAAUAUGCAAAGUAUAUUAAUUAAAAAUAA